UACGUAGGGGGCAAGCGUUGUCCGGAAUCAUUGGGCGUAAAGAGCGUGUAGGCGGCCCGAUAAGUCCGCUGUGAAAGUCCAGGGCUCAACCCUGGAAUGCCGGUGGAUACUGUCGGGCUCGAAUCCGGAAGAGGUGAGUGAAAUUCCUGGUGUAGCGGUGAAAUGCGCAGAUAUCAGGAGGAACACCAAUGGCGAAGGCAGCUCACUGGGACGGUAUUGACGCUGAGACGCGAAAGCGUGGGGAGCAAACAGG
rnacentral:rRNA from 1 species